rnacentral:rRNA from 1 species
CUACGGGGGGCAGCAGCUGAGUAAAUUUUACAAUGCUCGAAAGAGUGAUAAAAUAAACCAGAGUGUUUUUCUUUGAAAAACUUUUGUAUGAUGUAAAAAGUCAUACGAAUAAGGACUGGGCAAGACCGGUGCCAGCCGCCGCGGUAAUACCGGCGGUCCGAGUCGCAUCCACAUUUAUUGGGUCUAAAACAUUCGUAGCUUGUUCUGUAAGUUUCUUGUGAAAUCUCAUGUCUCAAGCAUGAGGCGUGCAAGAAAUACUGCAUUACUAGAGACCGGAAGACGUAAGGAGUAUGAUUGAGGUAGCGGUAAAAUGUGUUAAUCUUGAUCAGACUAACAAUGGCGAAGGCACCUUACGAGUACGGAUCUGACAGUGAGGGAUGAAGGCCAGGGUCGCGAAAGGGAUUAGAUACCCUUGUAGUC